rnacentral:pre_miRNA from 1 species
ACAUAUAAUGCUGGAAAUUUUGCACACAUUUACAGUAAUUGUAAAUGUGUUGAAAAUCGUUUGCACAG